rnacentral:tRNA from 1 species
UCCCUGCUGGCUUAGUCGGUAAAGAAUCUGCCUUCAGUGCAGGAUACCCGGCUUCAAUCCCUGGGCUGGGAA